rnacentral:rRNA from 1 species
UAUCAGAAGUGCGAAUGCUGACAUAAGUAACGAUAAAGCGGGUGAAAAGCCCGCUCGCCGGAAGACCAAGGGUUCCUGUCCAACGUUAAUCGGGGCAGGGUGAGUCGACCCCUAAGGCGAGGCCGAAAGGCGUAGUCGAUGGGAAACAGGUUAAUAUUCCUGUACUUGGUGUUACUGCGAAGGGGGGACGGAGAAGGCUAUGUUAGCCGGGCGACGGUUGUCCCGGUUUAAGCAUGUAGGCUGGUUGUCCAGGCAAAUCCGGAUAAUCAAGGCUGAGGUGUGAUGACGAGGCACUACGGUGCUGAAGUAACAAAUGCCCUGCUUCCAGGAAAGCCUCUAAGCAUCAGGUAACAUCAAAUCGUACCCCAAACCGACACAGGUGGUCAGGUAGAGAAUACCAAGGCGCUUGAGAGAACUCGGGUGAAGGA